UACGUAGGUGGCAAGCGUUGUCCGGAUUUACUGGGCGUAAAGGGCGUGCAGGCGGUCUGUUAAGUCUAGGGUGAAAGCUCCCGGCUCAACUGGGAGAGGUCCUUGGAUACUGGCGGACUUGAGGGAGGCAGAGGAGAAUAGAAUUCCCGGUGUAGUGGUGAUAUGCGUAGAUAUCGGGAGGAAUACCAGUGGCGAAGGCGGUUCUCUGGGCCUUACCUGACGCUGAGACGCGAAAGCUAGGGGAGCGAACAGG
rnacentral:rRNA from 1 species